GCGCCGGUGAUCUAGCGGCUAUGAUACAGCCUUGCCAAGGCUGCCACCUGAGUUCGAGUCUCAGUCGGCGCA
rnacentral:tRNA from 1 species